rnacentral:rRNA from 1 species
AACGAACGCUGGCGGCAUGCCUAACACAUGCAAGUCGAACGAGACCUUCGGGUCUAGUGGCGCACGGGUGCGUAACGCGUGGGAACCUGCCCUUAGGUUCGGAAUAACUCCCCGAAAGGGGUGCUAAUACCGGAUAAUGUCUUCGGACCAAAGAUUUAUCGCCUUUGGAUGGGCCCGCGUUGGAUUAGCUAGUUGGUAGGGUAAAAGCCUACCAAGGCGACGAUCCAUAGCUGGUCUGAGAGGAUGAUCAGCCACACUGGGACUGAGACACGGCCCAGACUCCUACGGGAGGCAGCAGUGGGGAAUAUUGGACAAUGGGCGAAAGCCGGACCAGCAAUGCCGCGUGAGUGAUGAAGGCCUUAGGGUUGUAAAGCUCUUUUACCCGGGAUGAUAAUGACAGUACCGGGAGAAUAAGCUCCGGCUAACUCCGUG